rnacentral:rRNA from 1 species
AUUGAACGCUGGCGGCAUGCUUUACACAUGCAAGUCGAACGGCAGCGCGGGCUUCGGCCUGGCGGCGAGUGGCGAACGGGUGAGUAAUACAUCGGAACGUGCCCAGUAGUGGGGGAUAGCUCGGCGAAAGCCGGAUUAAUACCGCAUACGACCUGAGGGUGAAAGCGGGGGAUCUUCGGACCUCGCGCUAUUGGAGCGGCCGAUGGCAGAUUAGCUAGUUGGUGGGGUAAAGGCCUACCAAGGCGACGAUCUGUAGCUGGUCUGAGAGGACGACCAGCCACACUGGGACUGAGACACGGCCGAGACUCCUACGGGAGGCAGCAGUGGGGAAUUUUGGACAAGGGGCGAAAGCCUGAUCCAGCAAUGCCGCGUGUGUGAUGAAGGCCUUCGGGUUGUAAAGCACUUUUGGCGGGAACGAAAAGGACUGUGCCAAUACCACGGUUCGAUGACGGUACCCGCAGAAUAAGCACCGGCUAACUACGUG